rnacentral:rRNA from 1 species
AUACGUAGGGUGCAAGCGUUAAUCGGAAUUACUGGGCGUAAAGCGUGCGCAGGCGGUUUUGUAAGACAGUGGUGAAAUCCCCGGGCUCAACCUGGGAACUGCCAUUGUGACUGCAAGGCUGGAGUGCGGCAGAGGGGGAUGGAAUUCCGCGUGUAGCAGUGAAAUGCGUAGAUAUGCGGAGGAACACCGAUGGCGAAGGCAAUCCCCUGGGCCUGCACUGACGCUCAUGCACGAAAGCGUGGGGAGCAAACAGGAUUAGAUACCCUGGUAGUCCACGCCCUAAACGAUGUCAACUGGUUGUUGGGGAUUUAGUUUCUCAGUAACGAAGCUAACGCGUGAAGUUGACCGCCUGGGGAGUACGGCCGCAAGGUUAAAACUCAAAUGAAUUGACGGGG